UAACAACCUUGUUAGGUGAGGCUCCUAUACAAACAUAAGCUAUUGCUCAGAAACAUCGAAAGAUGCCAAUGGGUAAAACAGGAAUUGUCGGAUUAAGGCUUUUUCCAAGAUAGCUAAGAUGAACAUCUUUACGUUGUAUAGUGCUAAAACUCGGACGAUGAGAUGAUGC
rnacentral:sRNA from 2 species